UUUGCUUAAGACACUGUUAAAACGAGACAGCAUUAUAACGCUCACAUCGAUCUGUCUCGUUUUAACUCUGACUUAAAUCUGAGCAAAGUCAAAGUACGCUCUAUAAAUCUCAGCCUGAGAUCUAUGGAGCGUACUUUGAUUCUGCCCAGACUUAAGUUUCAGUUAUAACGAGACAGAUUUAUGUCAACGAUAUAACACUGUCUCGUUUUAACAGUGUCUUCAGCAAAGUUAAAGUUCGCACUAUAGAUCUCAGACGUGUCGCGAGUAGCCGUAGCACGUCGCGGUCGCAUAACUCUUAUCCUACCUUUAGUAUAAAAUGGCAUGUAUUUGUACAAGCAACGCGUUUGGCACUCGUGAGAUUGAA